UAAAAUCCUAGCACUACUAAGGCAGAGACAGGAAGAUCUCUUUUGAGUUUGAGGCUAGCCUGGUCUACAUUGUGAGUUCCAGAAUAGUCAGGGCUAGAGAGACUAUCUCAAAGACAAACCCUGUCUGUGUGGCUAUGUUUACAGGAGUCCAGAUGCCUGAAGAGGUCAGAGGCAACAAGGCCCCUCAAGCUAGAGUUGCAGACAGUUGUGAAUCACCUGACAUCAGCGUUGGGAACUGAAUUUGGAUCCUCUACAAGAUCAAUACUGUCAGGGAAGAAGGGGAUUCCAAACACUGCCAAAGCUACUGUCAACAGCCAGGACACUGAGAACUUCUCAAUGGCCAGGUCUCUUCUGGAGUCUCCCUCAGAGGGGCUGUCCAGACCACUCCGAGGUUCCGAAGAGCACACCAGCACUACAGCUUUUCCUCUGCGUACUUCUAAACAGCACGUCUACCCAUUAUUUGUAAGUGUUCUCCCCACCAAGAACUUAGUAUCUCCAAUGGCAGGGCGUCCAAACUUUUCUCCGUGCCUUUUCCCGACAAUUGUGUCUAGCACCAAGUAUGGAACUCGGGUGUAUUUAUGUACCUCAGCGUGCCCUUACCCUACUGAAGCCCGAGAGUUUCAUCUCUAACGCCUGCCUUUGAAUACACUAUGCCCACCUUCAGUAGUGGAGGUAAGCAUUUUCUCUGGGUUGAUAGCACCAUCAGCCAUCACAUCUGAGCCGUGGAAAUGCUGACCUAAACCUCUGGCUGUUUGAUUAUGUUCCAAAAACACCAAGUCCACGGGUGGAAUCUGUUAAUUGGGGCUCUUCACAACAGUAAAGUACUGCUUCAGUGCCAGUGUUUUCCUUAGCUGAAGCAGUAGUUUUGUUCUAAGCAAGUGAUUAUCUGUGGUUUCUUUUCAAUGACUGGUAAGUUAUUAAAUCAUUCAUGUGUCAUGUAUUUGUUUAGUUUCCAAUUCAGCUCAAAGUAACAUCUGCCCAAAGGGGUACCAAUUAUACUGUACUGAUAAUCACACCUAUAAUCUUACAUUGCCUUAGUCUUUUUAGUAGUUGGGUCUGUAAGGCCUCACCGGAGCGCAUCCCUGCCACACUUUUUAGUGAACUCUGUUGGAAUAGGCAUAGAUACAAAAAUAACAUGGUUUCCCUAACAAAUUCUGUCCAUAAUAGCUUUAUGUACAGGGCAGUAUGCUGCCGACAUAGGAUAGCUACUAUUGGGAUGGUCAGAACUUUCCUGUCUGCUGCCCAGAGCCAGCCACCAGUAGACAGCUCCAGCCACGGCAUUGUCACACUGCAUCAUCUGUUUCCAAGAGAACUGAUCACCUGUAAUUUACAAGUCUCGUCAUUUAUUCCAGCUUGCAUCCACUCUGAAGGAGCAUCCCAUCUAUAUAACCCAGUGGACUAGAUGAGGGACUCUGUUCAGAUCUAGGUCAACUUCUUUUCUCCUCCAAGGAUACCAAGAGCAUUCCCUUUUAAGUCUCUUUUAAGUUAACACUAGUAUGUAAACAUCUGCUAUCAGAGAAACCCCACCUGUGACCUUGCUCGCAUUUGUUGACAAAACACAUAUUACAAUUUGGAGUUUGUUUUCAUUGAGACAACACCUUCUAUCGUUCAGGCUGAUUUACAGCUCCAUAAUAUAGCUUGGAACUCUUGAUUUUUCCGCCUCUGCCUCACAGUGCUGGAAUUUUAGGCUACCAAGCAAAAUUGAGGCCAGCCUGAGCUACAUAAGGCCCUGUCUGAGAGAAAGACAGAUGAGAGAUCUAAACUUCUCCAUUUACAAACCAGGCCUAAAUUUCAGUUUCUUAAACAAAGGACUAUUGGUCAACACCACCACAGACAGCAGGGAUGAGGAAGGGAGCACAUACAAGGCCUGAAUCCGCCCUACAGUAUCUCAAAGCAAUGACCAAAUAAGGACAGUUCCUGCAAACCUCUCAAAACAUGUCCAAAGAUAGUAAAACUAACCUCAGCCAAUCAAAAGUAUACUAGUGUAACUGUUGCCUGCUUGACCAGUCACACUCAAGGUGACCUAACUGUUCCUGGAAUAUCCCUAGCUGUGCUUGAAGGGAGCCUGUGUGCUCCUCUCGGAGUGCCAUUUUGUACAAAUGGUUGACUCUGCAUUCUGGUAAGUUCUGCAGAAUAAACACUCUUUGUUUUUACAUA